UACGUAGGGUGCGAGCGUUAAUCGGAAUUACUGGGCGUAAAGGGCGCGUAGGCGGAUAGUUUAGUCAGAGGUGAAAGCCCAGGGCUCAACCCUGGAAUUGCCUUUGAUACUGGCUAUCUUGAGUUCGGGAGAGGUGAGUGGAACUCCGAGUGUAGAGGUGAAAUUCGUAGAUAUUCGGAAGAACACCAGUGGCGAAGGCGACUCACUGGCCCGAUACUGACGCUGAGGCGCGAAAGCGUGGGGAGCAAACAGG
rnacentral:rRNA from 1 species